rnacentral:rRNA from 1 species
CAAUAGCGUAUAUUAAAGUUGUUGCAGUUAAAAAGCUCGUAGUUGAAUUUUUGCUUGCCGCCGAUGUCGGAACUUCCGUACGUUCGGCGGCGUGCAUCCUUGGGUGGAACCUGUGUGGCAUUAGGUUGUCGUGCAGGGGAUGCUCAUCGUUUACUGUGAAAAAAUUAGAGUGUUCAAAGCAGGCUUACGCCGUUGAAUAUAUUAGCAUGGAAUAAUAAGAUGGGACCUUGGUACUAUUUUGUUGGUUUGCGCACCGAGGUAAUGAUUAACAGGGACAGUUGGGGGUAUUCGUAUUCCAUUGUCAGAGGUGAAAUUCUUGGAUUUCUGGAAGACGAACUACUGCGAAAGCAUUUACCAAGGAUGUUUUCAUUAA